GAUCCUGGCUCAGGAUGAACGCUGGCGGCGUGCCUAACACAUGCAAGUCGAGCGAUUCUCUUCGGAGAAGAGCGGCGGACGGGUGAGUAACGCGUGGGUAACCUGCCCUAUACACACGGAUAACAUACCGAAAGGUAUGCUAAUACGAGAUAACAUAAGAGAUUCGCAUGGAUUUCUUAUCAAAGCUUUUGCGGUAUAGGAUGGACCCGCGUCUGAUUAGCUAGUUGGUAAGGUAACGGCUU
rnacentral:rRNA from 1 species